UAGGGAAUCUUCCACAAUGGACGCAAGUCUGAUGGAGCAACGCCGCGUGAGUGAAGAAGGUUUUCGGAUCGUAAAGCUCUGUUGUUGGUGAAGAAGGAUAGAGGUAGUAACUGGCCUUUAUUUGACGGUAAUCAACCAGAAAGUCACGGCUAACUACGUGCCAGCAGCCGCGGUAAUACGUAGGUGGCAAGCGUUGUCCGGAUUUAUUGGGCGUAAAGCGAGCGCAGGCGGAAGAAUAAGUCUGAUGUGAAAGCCCUCGGCUUAACCGAGGAACUGCAUCGGAAACUGUUUUUUUUGAGUGCAGAAGAGGAGAGUGGAAUUCCAUGUGUAGCGGUGGAAUGCGUAGAUAUAUGGAAGAACACCAGUGGCGAAGGCGACUCUCUGGUCUGCAACUGACGCUGAGGCUCGAAAGCAUGGGUAGCGAACAGG
rnacentral:rRNA from 1 species